ACCUUCCGGGCAUGCCGGGACCACGUCAUGGACAGACUGCAAACACCUGCCGGACCUGCCUGAACCACCUGCCGGACACACCUAAAACACCUGCGGGCUCUGCCAGAACCACUUGGCGGACUCUCCUGGAUCACAUGCCAGGAAUGCCAGAGCCACCUCUUAGACCUGCCAGAACCAUGUGCCGGACACGCCGGAACCACCUGCCGAGUAUGCCAGAACCACCUGAUCCACUCCCCAGAACCACCUGCUGGACACGCCAAAAUCACCUGCCGGCUACCCCAGAACCACUCAGCAGACACUCCGGGAUCACCUGCCGUCAUGCCGGAAACACCUGUCAGAUGUGCCAGAACCACGUGCCGGAGACGCCGGAACCACCUACCGGACACAACGGAACCACAUGCCGGAACUGCCUGAACCACCUGCCGGGCAUGCUGGAACCACCUGCCGGACACGCCAAAAACACCUGCGGGCUACGCCAGAAACACUUGGAGGACUCUCCGGGAUCAACUGCUGGGCAUGCAGGAACUACCUCGCAGACGUACCAGAACCACGUGCGGCAUACGCCGGAACCCACUACCAGACAGACCGGAAACACCUGCCGGACACGCCGGAAUCACCUGCCGGACAUGCCAAAAUUGCCUGCCAGACAUGCCAAAUCACCUGCCGGCUACGCCAGAACCACUUGCCGGACACUCCGGAAUCAAAUGUCGGGCAUGCCGGAACCACCUCUCAGACGUGCCAGAACCACGUGCUGGACAUGCCGGAACCACCUCUGGGACAACAGAACCACUUGCCGGACCCACCUGAACCACCUGCCGAGCACGCUGGAACCACCUGCUCGAGUCGCCGGAACUACCUGCGGGACAUGGCAAAAUCACCUGUGGGAAAUGCCAAAAUCACCUGCCGGACAUGCCAAAAUCACCUUUCGGCUACGCCAGAACCACUUGCCGGACACUCCCGAAUCACCUGUCGGGCAUGCCAUAACCACCUCUCAGACGUGCCAGAACCACCU
rnacentral:lncRNA from 1 species